UACGGAGGGUGCAAGCGUUAAUCGGAAUUACUGGGCGUAAAGCGUGCGUAGGCGGUUCGUUAAGUCUGUUGUGAAAGCCCCGGGCUCAACCUGGGAAUGGCAAUGGAUACUGGCGAGCUAGAGUGUGUCAGAGGAUGGUGGAAUUCCCGGUGUAGCGGUGAAAUGCGUAGAGAUCGGGAGGAACAUCAGUGGCGAAGGCGGCCAUCU
rnacentral:rRNA from 1 species